rnacentral:rRNA from 1 species
CCUACGGGUGGCUGCAGUGGGGGAUAUUGCACAAUGGGGGAAACCCUGAUGCAGCGACGCCGCGUGUGGGAAGACGGUCCUCUGGAUUGUAAACCACUGUCCCCAGGGACGAAGAUGACGGUACCUGGGGAGGAAGCUCCGGCUAACUACGUGCCAGCAGCCGCGGUAAUACGUAGGGAGCAAGCGUUGUCCGGAAUUACUGGGUGAAAGGGGAGCGUAGGCGGGAUGGCAAGUUGGGGGUUAAAUCUACCGGCUCAACUGGUAGUCGCACUCAAAACUGCUAUUCUUGAGUGAAGUAGAGGCAGGCGGAAUUCCUAGUGUAGCGGUGAAAUGCGUAGAUAUUAGGAGGAACACCAGUGGCGAAGGCGGCCUGCUGGGCUUUUACUGACGCUGAGGCUCGAAAGUGUGGGGAGCAAACAGGAUUAGAUACCCUGGUAGUC